ensembl:misc_RNA Vault Vault RNA
GGGCUGGCUUUAGCCCAGCGCCCGGGCCGAUUGGUCCGGUGGUUCGAGACCCGCGGGCGCUCUCCAGUCCUUUU